rnacentral:tRNA from 1 species
GCGCCUGUAGCUCAGGGGAUAGAGCAGGGGACUUCUAAUCCCAAGGGCGGGGGUUCGAAUCCCUCCAGGCGCGCCA